AUAACAAGUUACCAGUGACAAAUUCCCAGGAUGGGAAAAGCCCGCAGUAAUGCAGACUAGCUGACUAACUGACC
rnacentral:ncRNA from 1 species